GCCGACGUGGUUUACUGGGAAUCUAGGAGACUGGCUCCGCUCAGAACGGAUGAGCCUUGGGGGUGCAAGUCCCCCCGUCGGCA
rnacentral:tRNA from 1 species